rnacentral:sRNA from 1 species
UUUCAAAAUUUCAGUUGGAAAAUAAAAAUUUAUUGUAAAUUUGUUUUGUUAAACAUAAAAGUUUCGUGUCUUUUUAGGAAUUCGAAUAUAAAAUAACGCGUGCAAAAAUUUCGUAAUGUGUUUUAACUUUAAUUUGAGCAACAGUUUAUGUGUUAUUCAUUGUGAAUUGGGUGUGUAACACAAUGGCGUCACGGAUGCCAAUUGUGCAUAGCUUUAAUAAUUUUUAAAGUUAAUUAACAAUCGUCCAGAACUGGAGUUUUAAGUGUUCGUAUUACGUAUUUCCUUACCAGAAAGUAUUCACUUUCGUAAUUUGUGUAAAGUUUUGAAGUUCUUGAUCGCCUUGGGAAGCGAACUAUCGUACCUUUGCUUCCGGGUGACCAAAAGUUGGUAUCAUCAAUCAUUUAAUCUUACAAUCUAUGGCAAACUGAAAGAUUAGAUCAAUGUGUAUAAAAUUUUUCAAGUACUAAAUUACAUCGUGUAAUCAUAUAGUAAUACCUAUUGCAAUACGUUUUGGCAAAAUUAAGAUGAAUUCCGAUGCGUGUGAAUAAGAUAAAGCGUGAGGCGCUAUGAAAGAAUAGUUAAUUCCAUUUUGCAUUUUGGCUAAUUCCCAUUUGAGAAAAUUAACACCGAAAUUCCAAAUUUUAAGUUCGUUUCAAAAUUGUGUAAUUCAGCCAGAGUAUGAAAAUAAAC